CUGUGUGAGGUAGGCUGUGAUACUGUGACUUCAUAGAAGAGGUCAAGAAAAGGUGCUUGUGCUCCCAAUAUUUUAAGGCUCUUUUAAUGAGGACGUUUCCAGCAUGCUCUGCAAUAACAGAACUUCUACAGAAAUUCUCCAAAGAUGGGCGCCUGAGUGGCUCAGUCAGAUUUCCUGUAGUCUUACCUGGACUUUAUCACCACCAUUUGCCAUCAUCAUUAUCUUGAAAUUAUUUUAACAUCGUCAUUACUUUUUAGUUUGUGAACCCUCUCACAUGAGUUACCUCCUUUGCUCUUCCCUGAAAUCCUUCCAGCCUGCCACCACCCUCACCACCUCUUCUACCAUUCUUGCCCCCAACAUCACCACCAGAAACACCAGCAUGAUGAGGUAAGUUGCCGCAAAUUUGAAAGAAACCUAUGUUGAUAAAUUUCUUUUCAAUGGGUAGAUGAAGAAGGAAGAAGGAUGGAAAGAAAGAAGGUUACAUCUUUUGGUGAGAACGAGAAGGCUGUGUGAGGUUACAUCUUGCCCAAGGCUUCAGAGAGACAGAAUCAGGAUUUGAACUGAGUUCUUACUCAGUGAAGUAUGCCUCAUUAUUUCACUUCAAGCAAAGAGCCAACAGAAAAACAUGAAUGGUUCAGUUAAUUAAAUUUAAAUUGAUUUUGAAAUCGGUUGGCACAUUUAUGUAAAUUUUCUGUACUCAUAUCUUAUAAAAGCUGCUUCUGAUCUUCAUUCUGAUAUAAUUAAGAUUUUUAUGUUUUGGUAACCAGCAAGUGCACCAUUUCAAAUUCUACCUUUCUCAUGUAAUAUGUCAUUUUUACUUUCCUGUGUUGUCUAUUUUUUAUAGCUUUAAUUUUAAUAGCUACACAACAGUACGGUCAAUAAACAGUCAUUU